rnacentral:tRNA from 1 species
GCCCCGAUAGCUUAGACCCCCUUAAAGCAUUGGCCUUGUAAACCAAAGACGGGCCCCGGCCCUCAGGGCA